GAGGAUCAGUGGCGGCGGGCCCGCGCGGUGCCGGCGACUAGCAGCGAGAUGUCCUGGCCCCUUCCAGGUUUGGCUUCGAACAAGUUCCUUUCUUCGGACGUCAACCGACCUACCAGAGUUUAUUCCUUAGGAAUGUUACACUUUCCCAAUUCUGUCCACGUUGUAAAUUCCUGGCCACCUUCUUUGGGGGACGGCGACGAAUCUGCCUAAGUGUGGAAAUCGAUGCGGGUCCUGAAGGCUUGAGCUUUAAAGAGUAUUCUAGUUCCCAGGAGCACUCAAGUUAAGCAUAGCAGCCCCCCCUCCCCCAAGCUUAACCCAAACAUCUCAAAGUGGUGCCACUUCUGCUCUUAUUUGGGGGAGGUGCUAGGAAAGCCCAUUUGAUCAAACUUGGAAGGACCCUGCAGCCAAAUCUAGAUGGAAUUUCAGAAUCUGUCUUUAGAGUUAUUUCAUCUAUGAGCCUAGCAGAUCUUCUACAGGGCUAAAUUAGGAGAAAAGUGUGCAGAAACGCGGUUGGACUGGCAGUGAAUCCGCAUCCACUAACACAAUACCCUUUUCCAGCGAAGAGAGAAGAAGCUGUUACGAAUCUAGCUUUUGUUUGAUGAGGUUGUUGGGUUUUUAUAGGGCUGUGCCAAUGACCCCUUUUCUCUCUCUUGCACCACCUGGCAACCCCGAAACUCAUCAGCAGCUCUGGCCUUCCCACCCGCAUGAUCUUUGCUUUGUAAAUCCAACCCGCCACGGCCUGCUUCACACGCCUUCUUAGAGAUUUGCUCCCACCCCACCCCCGACCUCUGAGUGCGGGACCUCUAAAGCAUUCUCGGUACCCCUGUCCACAUACCCAUUCCCAUGGAGCGGCUGUGGACCAAAGUAGUGCAGCCAAUAGUUCUCAAGCAUAAAUCCCUCUCCUGGUCCUUCCUAGGCUUAGACUCAGGGCUGAUCAGGGUAAGAAGGCGACCUUCCCACCUAAAGGGCAGGUUUGGACUGAGCGCCGGCGAUUUUCCUGCGAGCCCAACACUUCCUAGAACAAGUCGAUUAAUACCCAGAAUUCAGACACCCCAGGAAGAGCCAAGUGAGGAGCGCGAGAUCCUGUUAUCCCGAAGACACCCAAGCGGCUGCCAAAAAGAAGGGGCCGUUGGUCCCUUUGCUCUCCAUUUCCAGCUGUUCCAGAACUAGCUGCUAUCUCUCUGGACUCACCAGCCCCUCUAGGAAAUCUGAGAUGGCCUUGGGAGAGCAACCUCCGGACCUCAGCAGUGUGAGGAUGACAACAGUACCCUGUGGUGCUGUCCCCACUCAGGUUGGCUGCCAUCCCUGCUGAUGGAGAGAGGCUGAAGUCUGUCUGAGAAGAUAGUGCAGGCAGCUACUUAGCUGGUACUAAUUGUAUUUGCAGAGUAGGGGGUUUCUCUCUGUAGCCCCGACUGUCCUGGAACUCACUCUGCAGACCAGGCUGUCCUCAAGCUCAGAGAUCUACCUGCCUCUGCCUCUGAAGUACUGGGAUUAAAGAUGCAGAGGCCUCCCAGAGAAGUGUGAAGGAAUGGGCCUUAACCAGGGUUGAAGAAAGAAAGUGAAGAAGGGGAGAGCCCAAGGAAAGGUGGGGACAGUUGGAACUUUUGUUUACACUGGUCUACUACUCAUGUAUCGUAUGCUAUAAUCUCCAAAUUCCACAUUUAUUGUAGCUGUCUGCAGUGUGUAUGCCCCGGCCGCAUGCUGCUUGGCUAAAAAAGUGUUAAAUAAAACUGUAAGAAACGCUA
rnacentral:lncRNA from 1 species